rnacentral:rRNA from 1 species
AGGACGAACGCUGGCGGCGUGCUUAACACAUGCAAGUCGAGCGGUAAGGCCCCUUCGGGGGUACACGAGCGGCGAACGGGUGAGUAACACGUGAGCAAUCUGCCCAUCACAUCGGGAUAACUCCGGGAAACCGAAGCUAAUACCGAAUACGACCACUUCAGGCAUCUGACGGUGGUGGAAAGUUCUGGCGGUGAUGGAUGAGCUCGCGGCCUAUCAGCUUGUUGGUGGGGUAAUGGCCCACCAAGGCUUCGACGGGUAGCCGGCCUGAGAGGGUGACCGGCCACACUGGGACUGAGACACGGCCCAGACUCCUACGGGAGGCAGCAGUGGGGAAUAUUGGACAAUGGGCGCAAGCCUGAUCCAGCCAUGCCGCGUGAGUGAUGAAGGCCUUAGGGUUAUAAAGCUCUUUUACCAGGGAAGAUAAUGACUGUACCUGGAGAAUAAGCCCGGCUAACUUCGUGCCAGCAGCCGC